UACAGAGGUCCCAAGCGUUGUUCGGAUUCACUGGGCGUAAAGGGUGCGUAGGUGGUCGGGUAAGUCGGAUGUGAAAUCCCCAGGCUUAACCUGGGAACUGCAUCCGAUACUGGAUGGCUUGAAUCCGGGAGAGGGAUGCAGAAUUCCAGGUGUAGCGGUGAAAUGCGUAGAUAUCUGGAGGAAUACCGGUGGCGAAGGCGGCAUCCUGGACCGGCAUUGACGCUGAGGGAGCGAAAGCCAGGGGAGCAAACGGG
rnacentral:rRNA from 1 species